rnacentral:rRNA from 1 species
AUUGAACGCUGGCGGCAUGCCUUACACAUGCAAGUCGAACGGCAGCACGGGUGCUUGCACCUGGUGGCGAGUGGCGAACGGGUGAGUAAUACAUCGGAACAUGUCCUGUAGUGGGGGAUAGCCCGGCGAAAGCCGGAUUAAUACCGCAUACGAUCUACGGAUGAAAGCGGGGGACCUUCGGGCCUCGCGCUAUAGGGUUGGCCGAUAGCUGAUUAGCUAGUUGGUGGGGUAAAGGCCUACCAAGGCGACGAUCAGUAGCUGGUCUGAGAGGACGACCAGCCACACUGGGACUGAGACACGGCCAAGACUCCUACGGGAGGCAGCAGUGGGGAAUUUUGGACAAUGGGCGAAAGCCUGAUCCAGCAAUGCCGCGUGUGUGAAGAAGGCCUUCGGGUUGUAAAGCACUUUUGUCCGGAAAGAAAUCCUUGGCUCUAAUACAGUCGGGGGAUGACGGUACCGGAAGAAUAAGCACCGGCUAACUACGUG